GCCUGGGUGGCUCAAUCAGUUAAGCAUCUGACUUCGGCUCAGGUCAUGAUCUCGCAGCUUGUGGGUUCGAGCCCCAGAUCAGGCU
rfam:Felis catus isolate Cinnamon breed Abyssinian chromosome A1, whole genome shotgun sequence.